rnacentral:hammerhead_ribozyme from 1 species
GUUCAGCUGACGAGUCCCAAAUAGGACGAAACGCGCGUCCUGAAU